ACUUUACGACAAUCGUUUACUAUCCAAUCAAGGUGACAGCCGAGCGCCUAUGUAGCUUCGACACAACUGCGCAGUUAGUUAAAAAAGAAGUCUUCAUCAGAAAUGGAAUGCAUGAGAAACAACAGUUCACUUCGUUUCGAGGGAUCAAAG